CUGACCCUGGUAUAGUCACCUGAGCUGAGGGUGGGCCCUCGACUCUGCACACCGUUAGUUCAAUCCUGCCAGAGUUGACUGGUCUCAGCGAGACUAACUCAGUAGAUCCAACUCAUAAGAGGUUGAUGUGUAACUUGUAUUCCAGGCUGUUGAUGUCCCAGGAGAAACAGACCUUGCAAGCAGAUCAGAUUUUCCUGUUAUCUAACCUGUGCCUUCUUCUCUAGAGGGAACUUUGGGGAAGCAAAAUCAUGAUAAGGCUCUUGUUUGGUGAGCAGGACUGGAGGGAGGAAUUGAUGGAAGACUUGGGUGAGUGCUCUGGGGCCAAAUCUCCCUCCCCUGGUCCAGGAGGACAGCAUCCCAGCACCUCUUAUCACUUUCUGUCUCCUACAGUUAAGCCAUGACCUGACGAUACAUGCAACAGUUUGCCUAUCAGACAGCUCUGCCAGCCUACAAGUUCCAGAAAGGCAAGCACAGCAUGUUAUCCACAUCUUCAGCAAUACGUGGUAAUAUGGUAAAAUACUUUGGAGGAACUGGAUGUAUUUUUCCUCUGGUCUCCAGAGAAGAAACUGAGACGACAGCAAGUCACAGAUUCAAGCUGUGUUCAUAAUGUGUUUCCACGUGGAGGUCACACUUUCAUGUUCAUGGGCAGAUGAAUUCUAACACCAAACACCAGGCUGAAUAGGUGUUCCCAUUGCAAGAGAAGUGCUGUGCACAAUUUUUAUUUGCAUUUCAAAACCCUAACAAAUGGCCACAAUCAACUACUACAAAUUUCUCCUAAUUAGUUUUAGUCUGCACUUCUGUCACCUUUAGGAGAGAGCCAAAGAUUUUAACCUUCAAAAUUAUCAGCAAUGCAUGUCAGAAAGCAUUUCAAAGAAGAGUCAAAGUGCAUGUAGAAACUAAUUGCUGUAUCUGAAAGUGCUGUUUGAAGAAUUUUUCAGUCUUCAGAGAAGCAAGUUCCCCACCCCUUGGGAAAACUAGUCUUCAAACUAAAAGUUUCCCCAAAUCAUAUACCUGAGAAAAAUGUUAAAACAGACUUACCCAAAAAGGCAAAGAAAUAAAACUGUAAGAAUAAAUAAAUCAGAAAUCAGAUGUCUCUCCCCUGUUUAAAAUCCUCCAACAGCUUCCUACUUUACUUGGAAUAAAACGCAAUUCCUUUACCAUCACCUUCCAGGCCUCAUGUGGUCUGUCCCCCACCCAUUUCUUCCAUUUUUUUUUCAUUCUGUGUUCCCCUUCACAAACUGCUCCAAACAUACCAGUCUUUGUUGUUGUUUGCUUCAAACACAUCAAGUAUAUUCUCGCUUCAACUACUUUGCUCUUGGUAUUCCUCCUUCCUAGAAAGAUUCCCUAAAUAUUCCCCAACUCCCCUACCCACGGAUACCAGGCUCCGUUGCACAGGAUCGCCAACACACAAGGUGACUUAGACCCGAGGUAACUUUUUCUGAUUCACACAAAAGAACCAUAUGGGCUAGAGCAGUCCUGCUUACCUACAAUGAUUCAUUCAUUUCUAGAACAAAUGUUAAUUGAGCACCUACUAUGAGGUAAGCACUGUUCUGGGCACUGGAAUUAUAGCCUUGAACAGACAGACAAGGCCUUUGCCUUUUGGAAGCUCACAUACUAGUAGGCUGAGGCACACAAUGGAUGACAAUUUAACAAUAAGCGAAUAAGCAAAAUAUCAGAAAGUAGCCAGAGUGCACAGACAACCUGACGUGGUUAUAUGACAGUGACUGAAUGGUAGGUAGUCAAAGAAGGCCUCCUAGAGGUGGUGAUACUUGUCGUGAAAUCUAAAUGGCAACAAGGAAUCAUCAUGGAAUGCCAUGCCUCCCCUCCCCAACCCCAUUUGUUUGUUUGGGGAGGGGAGGCACGGCAUUCCAUGCAGAGGAAACCCAAGGUGUGAACUUUCACAAAGGCCCCAAGUAGUGCACAAUCAAUUUGUUUUAGAAACAAGAAGUUGGAAAGUAAUGGCUAGAGAAGAGAAAGUCAAAGAUAAGGCCAGACAGGUGGGAAGGAGCCAGGUGAUGUGGGGCUCUACAAGUCAGAAUAAAGAAUUUGAAGCUGGGUGUGGUGGCUCAUGCCUGUAAUGCCAACACUUAGGGAGGCCGAGGUGAGCAGAUAACUUGAGGUAAGGAGUUCGAGACCUGCCUGGCCAACAUGAUGAAACCCCGUCUCUACCAAAAAUACAAAAAUUAGCUGCUUGUGAUGGUGCACACCUGUAGAUCCCAGCUACUCAGGAGGCUGAGGCAUGAGAAUCACUUGAACCCAGCAGGCGGAGGUUGCAGUGAGUUGAGAUCACGGAUCGUGUCCCUGCACUCCAGCCUGGGCAACAGAAUGAGACUCCGUCUCAAAAAGCAAAAAAAAAAAAAAAAAAAAAAGGAAGAAGAAGAAUUUGAGCUUUAUUCUAAAGUGAGCUAUGAAAAUAUUUGAGGUUUUAAGCAGGGAGGUCCAUGAGCUGGCGUCUAUUUUGGAAAGAUCACUCUAACUCAGGGUUGUCAAAAAUAACUUUCUGCAAUGAAGUCCUAUAUCCACAUUGUCAGGUGCAGUAGCCACUAGCCAUGUGUGGCUACUGAGUACCUAAAAUUUGACUGGUGUGACCCAGAAACUGGAUAUUUAAUUUUAUUCUAUUUUAAUUAAUUUUCAUUUAAAUAUUCACAUGUGGCUGGUGGCUACUCUAUUGAUCAGCACACCUGAACAGCUGCAUGAAGAAUACAUGAAGGGUGUGGGGAAAGAUGAGAGUACAAGCAGGAAGAUUAAUCAGGAGGCUACCACAGUGGUCCAGGGGAGAGAUGGUAGCUGCAAGCAGAGAUGGAGAGAAGAAUACCUUUCAGGGUGGAGCCAAGAGUGUGAGAGGGAGAAAGGAAGAAUGAGGAAUCGUGGAUACCACCUAGAUUUGUGGUUUCAGAACCAAAUGGAUGGUGGUGCCAUUUUGAUCUGGGAAAGACUGAGGAAGUAGUACGUUUUGGGGAGGAAAAAAAACCUUGAAAAUAACCAGCUCCUCCCCAAGUCUUCAUGUGGCAGCUUCCCUCUUAACUUUUGGACCUAAAAUGUCAGCUCAAAUGUCACCUCCCCAGAGGAACUGUUGCAAUCUCCACCCCACUUCUUUAUCCCAUCCUCUCUCUCUCUCUGUGUGUGUUUGUGUGUGUGUGUGUGCAUCAUAUUGCUCCAUUGUUCUCCUCCCUGUAGAUUAUCUGCAAUUAUUUAAUCACGAAUGCAUUGCCUCUCUCUUCUCCAAACUGUAAACUCUCUGUGCAGCGACCUCAGCCCCUUUUCCCACAGUGGUCCCACCUACCUGGAACAGUAUCUGGCACAUAGCAGGUACUUAAAUAUGAAUUAUUAAACAAACAGGAAUAAUUAUCUUGCCAAACAAAACACGGCUAAAGCCUCAAAGAGUAUGUUUCUGGUUUGAAUUUCAGACAACAUAAAAUAGAAGAAGACAAAGUAUGCUCACACACCUGCUCAAAUAAUUGUUGGGAUAUAACUGGGAAAUAAUUAAUUGGGAUACAUUUUGUUUGGGGUUAUUUUACCAGUACUCCAUUUAUUCAGAAAACUGAGUAUAGUUUCCAGGUAAUGAGCCACCUCAUCUGACAGAUGCAGAAGAGAGAUGCUAAUCAGGACGGUGAUUCCUAGCACUACAGUCCCAUUUCUCUCCCAGAGUAUUUGGGGAGACAGCUGAGAGUGUGUAGAAUGAAAGCAGGGUAAUCCCAGGCUGCCAUUUUUGAAAGUUCAGAGUGUCCUUAAGAGCCACUUGCCCUUAGUUAAGCACACCACCAUCACCCACCCAUAUCCCGCCAACCAGCAGCAGAUGCUACCCCAGCUGAACAGGUGUACGUGGCUCAAUGCAAUGAGAAGGGACUUUGCAAUUAAACAGAUAAUAAUUUGAAUUCAGUUUUAAGGUCUUGAGAAAAUUGCAUAGCUUCUCUGAUCACCAUUCCCCAUCUGAACUCCCCAACAACCAAAACCUCUAGAUAUUUUCUUGCCAACUACAGCUAAGCCACAUCACCCCCAAAUUUUUAAGCCCCAGAGUACAUCUUUGCAUUUACUUGCUUCAGCAAGUUAAGCAGGAGUUUCACUCAACUUUGUCAUUAUUUUUCCCACUCUCCUCUCCAACUUCAUUCUCUCUGUAAACGCAUCAUACCUCAGUGCACGCGCGCACACACACACACACACAUAAUCAUACAAUUCCACACCCACAGACACACACAGAGCUUCUCUGCAGCUUCUUUCACUCUACACUGACUCACAGUCGUGAGAACACAUUUCCUUUUCCUCUUCACAGGCUCCUGAAAUGAGAUCAUAUCUGCUAAAAGCAAUCGCAAGUGCUGGGUGAACAACUCCAGAAAAUUAGUACAAGUUCCACUACGGCUAGAGACAGAGAAGAGGAAAAAUCUGUUCAAUUUUGACUGUAUUCGCAUUACCCACAAAAGGAAACAUACUUCUUAUUUCUUCCACUUAUCCCAAUCCUUAACAAAAAUUAAAACAAAAGCUAUAAGCUAUUUCCAGCACUACCC
rnacentral:lncRNA from 10 species